rnacentral:rRNA from 1 species
GACGAACGCUGGCGGCGUGCCUAAUACAUGCAAGUCGAGCGAAGUUUUUCUGGUGCUUGCCCUAGAAAAACUUAGCGGCGAACGGGUGAGUAACACGUAAAGAACCUGCCUCAUAGACUGGGACAACUAUUGGAAACGAUAGCUAAUACCGGAUAACAGUAUUUCUCGCAUGAGAGAUAUUUAAAAGUUGGUUAUGCUAACACUAUGAGAUGGCUUUGCGGUGCAUUAGCUAGUUGGCGGGGUAAAGGCCCACCAAGGCGACGAUGCAUAGCCGACCUGAGAGGGUGAUCGGCCACACUGGGACUGAGACACGGCCCAGACUCCUACGGGAGGCAGCAGUAGGGAAUCUUCCGCAAUGGGCGAAAGCCUGGCGGAGCAACGCCGCGUGAGUGAAGAAGGAUUUCGGUUCGUAAAGCUCUGUUGUUAGGGAAGAAUGGAUAUGUAGUAACUAUACAUGUAAGAGACGGUACCUAACCAGAAAGCCACGGCUAACUACGUG